ACAGGCUGAUCUUGCCCGAGAGUCCAUAUCGACGGCAUGGUUUGGCACCUCGAUGUCGGCUCGUCGCAUCCUGGGGCUGGAGUUGGUCCCAAGGGUUGGGCUGUUCGCCCAUUAAAGCGGCACGCGAGCUGGGUUUAGAACGUCGUGAGACAGUUCGGUCCCUAUCUUCCGCGCGCGUAAGAGUCUUGAGAAGGGCUGCCCCUAGUACGAGAGGACCGGGGUGGACGAACCUCUGGUGUGCCAGUUGUCCUGCCAAGGGCACGGCUGGUUGGCUACGUUCGGAAGGGAUAACCGCUGAAAGCAUCUAAGCGGGAAGCCUGCUUCAAGAUGAGGACUCUCACUGUUUAUCAGGUAAGGCCCCCAGUAGAUGACUGGGUUGAUAGGCCGGAGGUGGAAGUGCGGCAACGCAUGCAGCUGACCGGUACUAAUAGGCCGAGGACUUGUCUCUU
rnacentral:rRNA from 1 species